UAGUAAAAAUGACUUAUCGGGACACGUACAAUCACAGUUUUACUAAUUUGCGUGUGUAAACUCAAAAGUCACUAUAUUUUGCCAAAAGUCCUAGGGCCUCUUCAUUAAAAUCAAAACUUACCGGUUUGUAUAAAAAUAUUUUCGCAAAGAAGAACUAAUAUUUAGACUAAAAGAUCUUUAUUAUAAGACGAUGGCUCCAAGAACCCAUGAAUGAGAAAGGGUUUACUCCCUAUAAAUAACCGGUUUAUCUUCAACAAUCAAAUAACAAAAUCCAAGAGAUCAAUCGAGUAGGGAAAAUCAAUGAGUGGCAUUAGGUUUAGGAGACUUUUGGUGACGAUAAUGAUGUUGCUUAUGCUCUUUCUAAUUGUAAUAAAUGCCAAUAACGCUUUGCCUCCCUCUCUUCCACCCUCUCUUUUUCUGACUAGCCUUCUCUCUAUCCUUGACCAUGAACAAAAGAUCAUGUUUGAUUAUGAGUGUUUCUGGUUUUUAGCUCAUCAUUGUUUAAUAUUUCGAAGUUAUAAGUUAUUCGCAGAACCCCGGCAUAGUGAAUAUAAUGAUUGUAUACAUAAAGUGAAGAUAAUGUGCCGCAUGCAUUCCUAAGAUGUUAAUUAUCUUGUGAGGUUUCCACCUCCUUGUGAGGCUUUUUAGGGGAGGAGGAACAAACUUUGUUUCUCUCCUCCUCCCCUCCUUUCUCUUCUCCAUUUUCGCUCCCGUUUUUGGUGUUUUUUGUUCUAUUUUUUGCUGUUUCCGACCAAACCAGGAGCUCUGGCCUUCCUCUUUCGCAGCACUUAGCCUCCACCGUCUUGUUUCCGCCAGUCCUCCUCCUUCUAGUGCCACGCGUCGCAAUCCUGAAGAUGCUUGAGUUUGUAGAUCUAGUUUUUUAAAGCCAAAUCUACCCUCUUCUACUAGUCUAGCUCCCCCACGUGCCUCAUUAUUGUACUCAUCGGCAACCUAGCAACCCAUCGCCACCAGCCACGCUCCAUUCCGACCACCCAGACCGGCAGAAGAAAAAAAAAAUUGCAGAUCAAGAA